UACGUAGGGUGCGAGCGUUAAUCGGAAUUACUGGGCGUAAAGCGUGCGCAGGCGGUGAGCUGUGUCCGAUGUGAAAGCCCCGGGCUUAACCUGGGAAUGGCAUUGGAAACUGGCUCGCUGGAGUGUGGCAGAGGGGGGUGGAAUUCCGCGUGUAGCAGUGAAAUGCGUAGAUAUCGGGAGGAACACCAGUGGCGAGGGCGGUUGCCUGGAGCUUUGCUGACGCUGAUGCGCGAAAGCGUGGGGAGCGAUCCGG
rnacentral:rRNA from 1 species